GACGAACGCUGGCGGCGUGCUUAACACAUGCAAGUCGAACGCUGAAGACCUGGCUUUUGUUGGGUUGGAUGAGUGGCGAACGGGUGAGUAACACGUGAGUAACCUGCCCUCUUCUUUGGGAUAACGCCCGGAAACGGGUGCUAAUACUGGAUAUUCACUGGCCUUCGCAUGGGGGUUGGUGGAAAGGUUUGUUCUGGUGGGGGAUGGGCUCGCGGCCUAUCAGCUUGUUGGUGGGGUGAUGGCCUACCAAGGCUUUGACGGGUAGCCGGCCUGAGAGGGUGACCGGUCACAUUGGGACUGAGAUACGGCCCAGACUCCUACGGGAGGCAGCAGUGGGGAAUAUUGCACAAUGGGCGAAAGCCUGAUGCAGCGACGCCGCGUGAGGGAUGGAGGCCUUCGGGUUGUAAACCUCUUUCGCUCAUGGUCAAGCCGCAACUGUGGGUUGUGGUGAGGGUAGUGGGUAAAGAAGCGCCGGCUAACUACGUGCCAGCAGCCGCGGUAAUACGUAGGGCGCGAGCGUUGUCCGGAAUUAUUGGGCGUAAAGGGCUUGUAGGCGGUUGGUCGCGUCUGCCGUGAAAUUCUCUGGCUUAACUGGGGGCGUGCGGUGGGUACGGGCUGACUUGAGUGCGGGUAGGGGAGACUGGGAACUCCUGGUGUAGCGGUGGAAUGCGCAGAUAUCAGGAAGAACACCGGUGGCGAAGGCGGGUCUCUGGGCCGUUACUGACGCUGAGGAACCAAAACGUGGGGAGCGAACAGG
rnacentral:rRNA from 1 species